rnacentral:rRNA from 1 species
ACCAUUUGGAAACAGGUGCUAAUACCGGAUAAUAAAGCAGAUCGCAUGAUCAGCUUUUGAAAGCGGCGUAAGCUGUCGCUAAGGGAUGGCCCCGCGGUGCAUUAGCUAGUUGGUAAGGUAACGGCUUACCAAGGCGACGAUGCAUAGCCGAGUUGAGAGACUGAUCGGCCACAUUGGGACUGAGACACGGCCCCAAACUCCUACGGGAGGCAGCAGUAGGGAAUCUUCCACAAUGGACGCAAGUCUGAUGGAGCAACGCCGCGUGAGUGAAGAAGGUUUUCGGAUCGUAAAGCUCUGUUGUUGGUGAAGAAGGAUAGAGGUAGUAACUGGCCUUUAUUUGACGGUAAUCAACCAGAAAGUCACGGCUAACUACGUG